CAACUACUCCCUCUGUCCCAAAUUUCUUGUCUUAGAUUUGUCUAGAUACGAAUGUAUCUAAUACUAAAAUGUGACUUGAUACAUCCAUAUCUAGACAAAUCUAAGACAAGAAUUUUAGGACGGAGGGAGUACUUU
rnacentral:pre_miRNA from 1 species